rnacentral:rRNA from 1 species
GAUGAACGCUGGCGGCGUGCCUAACACAUGCAAGUCGAACGAAGCUUGACGGAUGAUUUCUUCGGAAUGAAACCAGAUAUGACUUAGUGGCGGACGGGUGAGUAACCCGUGAGCAACCUGCCUUUCAGAGGGGGAUAACGGCUGGAAACGGUCGCUAAUACCGCAUGAUGUGUUCGGAUGGCAUCAUCUGAACAUCAAAGAUUUAUCGCGGAAAGAUGGGCUCGCGUCUGAUUAGAUAGGUGGUGGGGUAACGGCCUACCAAGUCUACGAUCAGUAGCCGGACUGAGAGGGUGAACGGCCACAUUGGGACUGAGAUACGGCCCAGACUCCUACGGGAGGCAGCAGUGGGGAAUAUUGCACAAUGGGGGAAACCCUGAUGCAGCAACGCCGCGUGAAGGAUGACGGUUUUCGGAUUGUAAACUUCUUUUCUUAGUGACGAAGACAGUGACGGUAGCUAAGGAAUAAGCAUCGGCUAACUACGUG